rnacentral:rRNA from 1 species
GACGAACGCUGGCGGCGUGCCUAAUACAUGCAAGUAGAACGCUGAAGGAGGAGCUUGCUUCUCUGGAUGAGUUGCGAACGGGUGAGUAACGCGUAGGUAACCUGCCUGGUAGCGGGGGAUAACUAUUGGAAACGAUAGCUAAUACCGCAUAAGAGUAGAUGUUGCAUGACAUUUGCUUAAAAGGUGCAAUUGCAUCACUACCAGAUGGACCUGCGUUGUAUUAGCUAGUUGGUGGGGUAACGGCUCACCAAGGCGACGAUACAUAGCCGACCUGAGAGGGUGAUCGGCCACACUGGGACUGAGACACGGCCCAGACUCCUACGGGAGGCAGCAGUAGGGAAUCUUCGGCAAUGGACGGAAGUCUGACCGAGCAACGCCGCGUGAGUGAAGAAGGUUUUCGGAUCGUAAAGCUCUGUUGUAAGAGAAGAACGAGUGUGAGAGUGGAAAGUUCACACUGUGACGGUAUCUUACCAGAAAGAGACGGCUAACUACGUG